CAAACUGACAGAAAAAUUUCUCACAGAGUUAAAAAACAUUAAUUCAUUAUGAUUUUACUCUUGUAUCCAUAGCAAUGGGGUUUUGCAUUAAACUAGUUUUUAAAAGACAGUGUGAAUGGUACCUUUUGAGUGUUUUUAGUUCCAUCGAUGUCCUCAGAUAGACCUCUCCCCCCCCCUCUCUCUCUCUCUGUGUGUCUCUCUCUCUCUCUCUCUCUCUCUCUCUCUCUCAGUGUGAUGUUCGUAUCCUCAGGAUAACGGAAUAAAAUCUCUGCUGCAGCUCCACAGCAGGAUGUGUGGUAUGACGGUGCUGUUAGAUGAUGGUGAAGGUGAUGAAGACUUUGACGCGGGUGAUGGGAUCCGGAUGCUGCCUCCUCCUCCGGCUCAGUGUGACGGCGGGGUCUGGGGGGCCCGGCGGGGCCACUGCGGGUGUGUGCUGUGGACGCUGCUUCUGCUGCUGUGGAACGUCCUGCUGCUGACGGGGUGUGUGGUGCUGAUGGUCCUGGUCUUCAGCCUCAUUCUGCUGCCCACCGCCCUGCUGCUGUACGCCGGCUUCCAGUGCCAUUCACGGGUUGUGGCUUCUCGGGCUGCUCUUUGUCGCUACCUUGAUGACAACAGUUGCUCUGCCCUCAUCAUCCUGGGCUUUGUCAUGAUGUCUCCACUGGUCGUGGUUGCUGCGGCGACGUUCUGCGCUCUUCUCCGGCGGCUACACCUACUCUUAUAUUUUCAGCCAAUCACAGAAGCUCGGUACCAAGGGCGGGGCUUGGGCUGGAGGCGGGACAUCCACGCCUGGGUUUGACUGACAGAUACACCCAGCAUUCUGAGGUCAGCAUCCGGGGGGACGUCUAGCAACAGUAACAUCACGGCACAGCGACGGCGUUACUGUAACUCUACAGAAACACAAUCAUGUAACACAAUCUAUGUAAUAUAUCCCAGAAUGACCAAAAUGUAACUCUGGAGAACUCUGGAGUCUUGUCACAUGACACAUGAAAAGCGUGGUGUUACAGAUUACGUAGCUGUAACACAGUUUAAGUGUUACCAAACUGACGUGUGUGAAUAAGUGUACUAGUCUAGAGAUGCGUUAACUCGCUCGUGUCGAUGUUUAUAUUAGUUGGUCAGCUGUGUUCUUCAAAUGUGCAGAAUUGGGAAUAAACUGACUUAAAUCAAAUCUGUGGUUGAACUU
ensembl:lncRNA